GCCUCAGAGAUGGUCCCCGGGGGUCGGCUUCGCCUGCGGGACCCCAAAAGGACCAGGUCGGUCCUGGCUCCGCGCCCCCAGCCCGGCUGGAGAUGGAGAGCAGAGGAGACCAGACCGCGGGGGUGGGGGUGGGGGGGGGAACGGGAGAACACUGCUGCAUUUCUGGUCCGAGUUCUUUCUUUUUUUAAAAUCACCGCAGUUGAAAGAGCGACUCCUCCCUCCGUCCUGCGCCUGCCACGUGGGCCGCCCGGCAGCCGCCCCUGUCCCCCAGCCCUCCCUGGGCUGGGCCGGGCCGGCAGCAGGAGCUUUGGUUUCACUUUGGUGCCACCGGUUUCACUUUCGGGCAGGAGAAGAAAAGAGAAGGCCGAGCAAGGGAUGGAGAGCGCACAGGAGGCUCCGCCGGCCACAGGCUGAUGGACAUGUGGCCUGUUUCCAGCCUGGGCUCCGGUGAAUCACACUGCUGUGAAUGGGGGCAGGUGUUACGGUGACCACAACAAGUGUUGACUAGUGUGUGUCCACCCCCCAAACCCACUGCCAAGUCCGAGGCCACGAAGAUGGAAGGUGGGAGAAAAUCCAACAAGCAGCGGUGCUGAAGGUUCACUGGAAGCCUUAUGGGCGCUGUGAGUUCUGUCCAGCUCUAUGGCCAGGCUGCGGACCCCGUAGCGGGGCAUCAGUGGAUCGAAAAGACAGUGACUGAGUCAGAAGAAAGCGUGGCUUUGGCGGCGGCAGCAUGGCCGGCGUUUGUCCUGGGAGGGAGGCCGACUUCCGCCUCUGACCUGAGGCUUCCUGCCCGGCACAUACCUCCGCCCAGAGGGCUGGCUGAGCACCCUUCUCUGGACUCCCCACCUUCCAGAAGGUUCCGGGCCCCCUCUGCCCACAUCCCUCCUGCCGCACCGUGUCCCGGACUAUGGCCACAGGAAGUCCACUGGUCCGGGCAGGGAGGCUGGGACACAGAUGCUCUGCCUCUUGGUCCAUCAAACUGGGGUAGGGUUUAGGGCUGAGCCAGGCUCUACACCCUCGGCAUCGUCCCCGGGGCGCUGUGGGGGUGGAGCAGCACCCCCAGCCCCACCCCCUCGAUGCCAGGAGCUCCCCAGUGUGACCACCACAGACGUCCCAGACAUGGCCCAGUGUCCCCUGGGGGCAGGGUUGCCCUAGGUGAGACCCCUGGGGUGCCGCACACAUUUGGAUACACACACUGAGGGACAUCUGGCUGGCUCUGUCGGUGGAGUGCGCGGCUCUUGACCUCGUGAGCUUGAGCCCCACCUAGAGCUUACUUAAAAAUAAACAGAUAAACACACAGUGGGAGGGAGAGAGGGGGUGACUCAUAGACACCGAGGUCACCCUGGUUUGUACCCUGGGGGCUUUACUCUGGGGUCCAGCAUGAGCAGGGGCUGGACUCAAUUUCUUUUCCAAAUAAUUAACACAGGGUCUCUCCCCCGCCACCGCCCCGCUGCAGCCAUUCGGGAUCCUUCUCUGCGGGGCAUCCAGGGCGCUGUGGGGGACUGAGCAGCCUCUCUGGCCCCCACCCACCGAAUGCCAGGAGCACCCCCAGUGUGACCACAGACAUCUCGGACAUGGCCCUGUGUCCCCAGGUUGAGACCCAGCGGGCUGACAGCCGGUGCAGACAGAGAGCAGAGCGGGCUUGGGCCUGUGCUGCCCAACGCGGCCCCUGGCCCCGGGGACACGGCCACGCUGGGUUGAGGUGUGCUGUGAGGGCAAAAGACACGCCGGAUUCCAAAGGCUCCGUGCAAGAAGAAACAAAAAACGUAAAAGACCACACUGCUAAUUUCUCCUAUUGCUUACAAGGUGAAAGGGUAGUGUUUCGCCUCUGUUGGGAUGGAUAAAACAUGCCAUCACAUUACCUUUCCCUGUGUCUUUCCCCGUUUUGCAGCGCCGGGAGGUGACACUGGCGCCGGCACGCCGCGCCGGGUGGUGACCUGGGCUGGGUCUGCAGGCUUGUGCCCUGCACUCCGCCCGGGCCACCCCGCCGCGCUUGCUGCGGGAAGGGAAUGCGGGGGGGCUUUCCUGGGGGAGGGGGUGCGCCACCCGGCCGUCGGGUGAGCCGCUCAGGGCUCUGCGGCACCAACGGUGCGGAAGGGAACCAGCCGGGGACGGGGCCUCCGCUCCGGGCACGCAGGGAACAGGAGGAGGAAAGCCGGCGCACGACACUCGGGGUCUUCUCCCAAACCAAGCGCGGGAACAAAAAAGCGAAGACAACACAAAAGAACCCAACCAACGCGCAAGAUCCCAAAGCUCUCAUGCCUUUCCUGACUGAUUUUGUUUGGACAGAGAGGUCAGAAAGAUGGGGUGUCCGGGGUCACAGGUGUCGUGUCUGCAGGGGCCCCCGAACACGGAGGCGGGGUCUUCAGGCUCCCGUACUUGGUGGCAUCGGGAUUCUUCAAGAGGAGCCAAGAAACCUCAACACGGCCACACAAAACGCUCUGUUAUCUCCUGAGGGCCACCUGCUGCCUGACCCCCAUGUCAGGAGACCCCCAAACCAACAGCUCCCACGCAACUCAUGAGGAGCCUGCCCCCUCGCAAUAGAGCCUGUCAGCAGGUCUGUCGGGCCGACGGGAGGGCUGGGUGUGUGCAGGGGACGGCGGUGCAGGGGAGACACUGGGAGGUGCCGGCCUAAGGGCCCCAAGGCUCUGGUGAGCUCCUGGCUUCCUAGGAGCCUGGUCUGGGACAGACAAGAAGAGAAAGAGUCCACUUCUCUGUGCUGCGGCCCUGGGACACGGUGCAGUGGGGGCCGUACCCCGAUUCCAAAUCCUCCCCGAGCCCUCAGGACCCAGGCACCGUGGUCUCUUACUCCUUGAAAAUGGCAGC